rnacentral:rRNA from 1 species
AUGAGGGAGCCACGACGCAGUCCGAGCAGGCAGCCGACGACGGCGAGGAGCCGCCGCCGGCCGAAGCUUGUCACGGAGCGCCUGACCACUACUAUCAGUGAUGCGCGGUCGCUGCAGCCGGCUAUGGCUACAGGGGGGCUACUUGCUGGGACGACGACGAACUUCUCCGAGGACGAGGAGGACCUCCUCAUCAAGCUGCAUGCUUUGCUCGGAAACCGCUGGUCCAUCAUCGCCGGGAGGCUGCCUGGGAGGACGGGCGAGGAGGUCGAGGCCCACUGGGGUUCGCCGGCGAUGAGGAGGCGCACGGGCGGCGCCGACCCCGACAGCCAUCGUGUGCUAUUGCAGGCUUUGCUAGCCUCGUCACAUGAUCAGCACGGCGAGCAUCUGCCAAGGGUAAUUCCAAAUGAAGUGCGCCGGGAGCACCGGGGCCGUCCUUCCUUCUCCAACGACGGACUCGACGACUGGGCAUUGUCGGACGCCGACAGCAGGUGCCUCGCUCAAGUGAACCUGGAGCUCAGCCUCUCUAUGCCGUGCAGUACGUCUACUUAA